GUGCUAAUCUGCGAUAAGCGUCGGUGAGGUGAUAUGAACCGUUAUAACCGGCGAUUUCCGAAUGGGGAAACCCAGUGUGUUUCGACACACUAUCAUUAACUGAAUCCAUAGGUUAAUGAGGCGAACCGGGGGAACUGAAACAUCUAAGUACCCCGAGGAAAAGAAAUCAACCGAGAUUCCCCCAGUAGCGGCGAGCGAACGGGGAGCAGCCCAGAGCCUGAAUCAGUGUGUGUGUUAGUGGAAGCGUCUGGAAAGGCGCGCGAUACAGGGUGACAGCCCCGUACACAAAAAUGCACAUGCUGUGAGCUCGAUGAGUAGGGCGGGACACGUGGUAUCCUGUCUGAAUAUGGGGGGACCAUCCUCCAAGGCUAAAUACUCCUGACUGACCGAUAGUGAACCAGUACCGUGAGGGAAAGGCGAAAAGAACCCCGGCGAGGGGAGUGAAAAAGAACCUGAAACCGUGUACGU
rnacentral:rRNA from 1 species